UUGAUCAUGGCUCAGAUUGAACGCUGGCGGCAGGCUUAACACAUGCAAGUCGAGCGGAGGGAGGUAGCUUGCUACUGAUCUUAGCGGCGGACGGGUGAGUAAUACUUAGGAAUCUGGCUAUUAGUGGGGGACAACAUUUCGAAAGGGAUGCUAAUACCGCAUACGUCCUACGGGAGAAAGCAGGGGAUCUUCGGACCUUGCGCUAAUAGAUGAGCCUAAGUCGGAUUAGCUAGUUGGUGGGGUAAAGGCCUACCAAGGCGACGAUCUGUAGCGGGUCUGAGAGGAUGAUCCGCCACACUGGGACUGAGACACGGCCCAGACUCCUACGGGAGGCAGCAGUGGGGAAUAUUGGACAAUGGGGGGAACCCUGAUCCAGCCAUGCCGCGUGUGUGAAGAAGGCCUUAUGGUUGUAAAGCACUUUAAGCGAGGAGGAGGGUACUGGUAUUAAUACUACCAGGUACUGGACGUUACUCGCAGAAUAAGCACCGGCUAACUCUGUGCCAGCAGCCGCGGUAAUACAGAGGGUGCGAGCGUUAAUCGGAUUUACUGGGCGUA
rnacentral:rRNA from 1 species